rnacentral:lncRNA from 1 species
UGGUGAUUGCUGGUUUGGAGCUUGCUGGUCUGGAGCUUGCUGGUCUGGAGCUUGGUGGUUGGGUGCUUCGUUUUGACCUUGAGAAUUUUGAAAGUUUAAAAAUUGUUGUGCAACUAUGGUUGCUGAAGGUGGAAGGAAUGGGAGAAGGACACCAAUAAAGCCUUGAACCAUUUGAAGCUGCUGGCUACAUUCUUGUAACUGCGAUUUAAGAUUAUCAAGUUGUUCUGAAUUUUGUUGUUGAGUGGAAGAAGAUGUNUGUGUCUGUCGGAUGUAACUAUNGACACGGUCACUUUGGGAACUGACAUUUCCAAUGCCAUAUUGAUGGGUGUCGCAGCCCAUACAAAUUUGAUGUGCAUAAAGAAUGCAGUAUAGUACUAGGAAGUGACUCUUAGGUCGUCUCUCAAGGACCAAACUGUGGUUCGAGAAUUAGGUCAAACACGUAGUGGGGGGUUGUUUGAAAGGUGUGUGAAUGCAGAUAAACAAAAUUAAAAUACGAAUGCAAGCAGAAAUGUAAACACAGAUGUAAACAGACACGGAAACAGAAAUGUAAAAACAAAAUCAAAUACAGAAUGAAAACGGUUGGUCAUUAACUCAAUUACUAUGCUUCCAAUCCCAGAUUAAAGACAGGUACACACUACUCUAAUCCAAAUCCAACACGAAUCACCCAACUAAGCGAAGGCUA